rnacentral:rRNA from 1 species
UACGUAGGGUGCGAGCGUUGUCCGGAAUUAUUGGGCGUAAAGAGCUCGUAGGCGGCUUGUCGCGUCGGAUGUGAAAGCCCGGGGCUUAACCCCGGGUCUGCAUUCGAUACGGGCAGGCUAGAGUUCGGUAGGGGAGAUCGGAAUUCCUGGUGUAGCGGUGAAAUGCGUAGAUAUCCGUAGGAACAUCCGAGGCGAAAGCGGCUCGCUGGAUCACAACUGACGCUGAGGGACGAAAGCUAGGGGAGCAAACAG